UACGUAGGGGGCUAGCGUUGUCCGGAAUCAUUGGGCGUAAAGCGCGUGUAGGCGGUCCGGUAAGUCCGCUGUGAAAGUCGGGGGCUCAACCCUCGGAUGCCGGUGGAUACUGUCGGGCUUGAGUACGGAAGAGGCGAGUGGAAUUCCUGGUGUAGCGGUGAAAUGCGCAGAUAUCAGGAGGAACACCAAUUGCGAAGGCAGCUCGCUGGAACGUUACUGACGCUGAGACGCGAAAGCGUGGGGAGCAAACAGG
rnacentral:rRNA from 1 species